GGAGACCUCACCGUAAGAGCUCACCAACGUGACCAGAGAUGUGAUAAUGGAUCAUCAUGUUUCCACCAUCAAACCUCGAAGGAUCCAGAACCAAAAUGUCAUUCACCGCCUGGAACGCCGACGGAUCAGCUCGGGCAAGGCAGGCACCCAUUGGCAUCAGGUCCGAGUAUUCCACCAGAAUGUCUUCCCCAACUUCACGGUCGUCAAUGUUGAAAAGCCUCCUUGUUUCUUGCGUAAAUUCUCACCUGAUGGACGCUACUUUAUUGCUUUCUCUUCAGACCAGACGUCUCUCGAGAUCUAUGAGUACCAGGGCUGCCAGGCAGCCGAGGACCUACUGCAGGGCUAUGAGGGGGAGAUCCUGUCCAACGGCAAUGACCAGCGGUCGGUCAGCAUCCGCGGCCGGCUCUUUGAACGCUUCUUCGUCCUGCUGCACAUCACCAACGUGGCCGCCAACGGUGAGCACCUGAACCGGGAGUGCAGCCUCUUCACUGACGACUGUCGCUGUGUCAUCGUGGGCUCAGCUGCCUACCUCCCGGAUGAGCCGCAUCCUCCUUUUUACGAGGUGUAUCGCAACAGUGAGUCCGUGACCCCCAACCCCCGGUCCCCUCUGGAGGACUAUUCCCUCCACAUCAUUGACCUUCACACCGGCCGCCUAUGUGAUACGCGCACCUUCAAGUGUGAUAAAGUGGUCCUGUCGCACAACCAAGGGCUGUACCUGUACAAAAACAUCCUGGCCAUCUUGUCAGUGCAGCAGCAGACCAUCCACGUCUUCCAGGUGACCCCUGAAGGCACUUUCAUUGACGUGAGGACCAUCGGCCGCUUCUGCUACGAGGAUGACCUCCUCACCGUGUCAGCUGUCUUCCCUGAGGUGCAGCGGGACAGUCAGACGGGCAUGGCCAGUCCUUUCCGAGAUCCCUUCAUCAACUCCCUCAAACACCGGCUGCUGGUGUACUUGUGGCGCCGGGCGGAGCAGGACGGGAGUGCGAUGGCCAAGAGGCGCUUCUUCCAGUACUUUGACCAGCUGCGGCAGCUGCGCAUGUGGAAGAUGCAGCUUCUGGACGAAAACCAUCUGUUUAUCAAGUACACUAGUGAGGACGUGGUCACCCUGCGGGUCACGGAUCCAUCACAGGCAUCUUUCUUUGUGGUGUACAAUAUGGUGACAACAGAGGUGAUUGCUGUGUUUGAGAAUACAUCCGAUGAGCUUUUAGAGCUCUUUGAGAACUUCUGUGACCUCUUCCGUAACGCCACCCUGCACAGUGAAGUCCAGUUUCCCUGCUCAGCUUCUAGCAACAAUUUUGCAAGGCAGAUCCAGCGCCGGUUUAAAGACACUAUUGUAAACGCCAAGUACGGAGGGCACACGGAGGCAGUACGCCGGCUGCUGGGGCAGCUCCCCAUCAGUGCCCAGUCUUACAGCGGUAGCCCCUACCUUGAUUUGUCUCUCUUCAGCUACGACGACAAGUGGGUGUCCGUCAUGGAGCGACCCAAGACUUGUGGAGAUCACCCUAUCAGGAGCCCAUCGAGGCCCGGAGACUUAACUUGCUCCAAAUAUCACACGCAGUGCAUGGGAAAGUCAGGGUGUGAGUCCAGUUCUCUCGAAGUCCGAUGCCUGAGCUUCUCUCCUGCACGGCCAGGCCAGACAGCGAAGGAGUGAUGCUCUCCACCGUCACAGCUGCAGAGGUCCAGCUCAGAGCCACCUCUGAGCCUUCCUUCCCCGGUCGCUGCCUGCUCCUCCUCCCAGCCCCAGCCGGCAGGCCUGCUUUCUCCCCUGUGCUUCUGCAGUGCUGGUCCUUUGACGACCGGAAACCCCGGUCCCAUCAGGAAGCACCACUGACCUGUGCCUGGGAAGCUAGACUUCUUCCGUCACAAGAGACAGCGAGCAAGCAGGGGAGGGGCAGAGAGCGAGAGACAGAGAAAAUCCCAAGCCGGCUCAGCACUGUCAGCACAGAGCCCAAUGUGGGGAUUGAACCCUUGACCGUGAGAUGAUGACCCAAACCCAAGUCAAGAGUUGGAUGCCUGACUGAGCCACCCAGGUGCCCCCAAAUGGGACUUAUUCUUACAAUUAAAUAGGGGAUGGGGACUAAGGAGGGCACUUGUCGUGAUGAGCACCGGCUGAUGUAUGGAAGUGCCGAAUCUCCAUAUUGUACACCUGAACUAAUAUUACUGUAUGCCAACUAAAAAAAAAAAGUAACCAGGAAGCCAUGGAAUCUUCCUGUGAUGGGGUUCAGGGCUAUAGAAAAGGAGGUCUGACAUAGUCGAUUUGAGGCAGUGAUGGGAGAAAAAGGAAACCGGACCCUGUUAGACUCCAUCCAAGUCCAGCCCGUUCCUGAACCUGUCCCUCACCCAGGGCCUGCACAGAGCUGGGCAUGUCCUUGGGGGGUCUGGAGGGUGGGUGGGCCUGCACUCUGUGGGUGUUGCAUCCUGGGAGGUCCCGGAGCCCACGUGGUGACCCAGUUUCCUGCCUCUGCCAGAGCGACUGAGCUCUGAUUAUGGGGGUGUGAGGGCUCUAAAUGACCGCAAAGUACUUUUCAAUCAGACAGGAAAUAGGCGAGAAAUGCAUUUCUGUUAGUGCCCCCAUUAUCCCAAUCCCAGCAGGACGAAAACAUGUGCCUGCUCCCAGGGACAGUUGUCUGGAUCCCCUGACUGUCCUUCCUCCCCCAGAAGCAGCUUUGUCUUCAGCUCGCGCCACCGAGGGGCUGGAGAUGGGUCAUCCCAAUGGCUGAGGCUCAUUUUCAGAGGGCCCGGGAAGUAGAGGCCGAGAAGGGAGCCCCUUCUGCCCCCCCCCGUGCAGGGCCCUCUUGGGGUCCAUCUGUUCCUGGGUGCCUGUGAGGAGCUGGGGCCACUGCCGCCCUCCAGGUCCCUUCCGUGAGACAUUACCUGUGACAGCUUGGUGCUUCUCGGCCCUCUUUCAUCCGGAAAUAGCAGUUUUGCCUCCUGGACCUCUGUUGGAUGAGCCCUGCCCGACCGUCUCAACUGCUGUUGUUUUCUACCAGAUUCUCAUCUCAUUUCUAGGGUGACAGUCCGCUCCUUGCCUCUGCCAGCUUCUGGUGACCCCAGGUGGUCCUUGGCUGUGGCCGCAUCCCUGCCAAUCUCUGCCUGUGUGGCCACCCGGCCUCCCCUCUUCUGUCUGUGCAAUCAGACGCUGCCUCCAUUUUAUUUGUUUAAUGUUUAUUUAUUUUUGAGAGAGAGUCAGAGUUGGAGAGAGAGAGGAAUAUUGCUUUUAUUUCAGAACAAUCGUAUGGAAUAUGGGGGCUGUAGUGGUGGUGAGAGACAGAACUCAAUCAGGGGAGGGGCAGAGAGAGAGGGAGACACAGAAUCCGAAACAAGCUCCAGGCUCUGAGCUGUCAGCACAGAGCCCAACGCGGGGCUCGAACUCACGGACCGUGAAAUCGUGACCUGAGCUAAAGUUGGUCUCUUAACUGACUGAGCUGCCCAGGCGCCCCAACGCUGCCUCCAUUUUAUAAGGAUACAUGUGAUCUCAUUAGGGUCCAUCCAGAUAGGGUCAUCUUCCCAUGUUAAGAUCCUUUGGCACAUCUGUAAAGACCCUAUUUGCAUAUAGGGUGACAAGUGCGGGUUCCAGGGUUGAGAUCUGAUACCUCUGGGGACCAUGAUGCAGCCCCCUGCAGCCUCCCUCUCUCACAUUAUGCUCUGAACAGUGUGCAGUUUAUUGCAGGCUGUCAUCUCCGCACUCUGCCCUUGGUUCAUGCCAUCCUCUGCUCGACACGUCCCCCUCACCCUCACCCUCAACAUUUGCCUUCUCUUACUCUUCUUUUUUUUUAACGUUUUUAUUUUUGAGACAGGGAGAGACAGAGCAUGAACAGGGGAGGGUCAGAGAGAGGGAGACACAGAAUCUGAAACGGGCUCCAGGCUCUGAGCGGUCAGCACAGAGCCCGACGCGGGGCUCAAACUUACGGACCGUGAGAUCAUGACCUGAGCCGAAGUCAGACGCUUAACUGAGCCACCCAGGUGCCCCAUGCCUUCUCUUACUCUUAUCUUCAGCUCAGAUGUCACCUCCUCUAGGAAGUGUUCCUUGAUACCUACUGUCACACAUAUGCUCCCGCAUGCACGUGCUUGUACACACACACACACACACACACACGCACACACAGGUGCCCCUGUUCUGUGGUAGCACCAGUGGUAUUACAAUGGUCUUUUCCUCAAAGCUGCUUAGGGCAGGUACCAGGUUUUAGGCAUAUUGUGUCUGAGUGUUGAUAGAUUUUCAAGGAAGGAAGGAGGGAAGAAAAACCCUUGAGGGAUAGACUCUUGAGUCAUUUGGCUUUUUAAUUUAAUUUUUGGCUGCAAAUUUUUAACAAUCUGGCUUAAUCUACAGUUGAGUGGAUUUAAGGGAGCAGGAGGACAGGUGAUUGGCUCCUACAGAACAUUUUCUGAUUAAAAAAUCACAGGAAAAAAAAAAGCUUUUAAAAAGUAAUAAUGAUGAUGGCAGCAAGCUGGACCCACACCUGUGUUCACCACCGUGUUCCCAGCCGGUGCCCACACUGCCCAGAGCUCACGGGAGGUGUCAGAGGGACGCAGGCACCCUGGAUGAGCACCUGCUGUAUACAGCAGACACGGUGGUCUUAGCGAAUGCCCCUAACAGCCCUGGGAGGUGGAGAGGCUGAGGUUCAGACUGAGGCAGAGCUGGUCUCCAACGACCGAGCCCUUCCCACCUCAGCAGGCUGGAAGGGACGGGCAGCUGGAGGAGCCUGAAGGCCCCUGGGAGACGGGAUUAGGGGGAGAAGGGCUAAAUGCAUUUCUGGGACACACAGUCAGGCCUCUGUCACACCCCAGAGGAUCUCCCCCAGUGUGGCCACUAGUGUGUCAGGACCUGGGCCUUCCAUGAAUGAGCUGUGGGCUCCUGGGAUGCCGGAGCUGCGUCCCACUCAUCCCCUCUUUGACCUGAGGGGGACCCUGAGGUCUGGAGGGGGUGGGGUGGGGAGUGUGGCCUGACAGCCUGUGUGCCGAGUCUGUGCUCAUCUGGGUCUAGAUGACAUUUGUUCUGCCGGCCAGGGCCCCCUGGACACUAGGCUGCCCCUUCGUUGACAUUUCGUUUCCGUUCAAGGGGAUUACGCAAAUCCAUGGUGGUUAAGCCGCCACGGGGCACUAUGGAAACAGAGCACUUCGCUCUGUCUGCCCCCUCCUUCCAGCCCAGCAAUAAUGACACAGAGGCUGGCUUCUCUGGCAAGACUUGUUAUGCUAAAUCGCAGAGCGUGUGCACAAUUUAAUUUGAACCCAGGCAGGCAGAGGGGAGAAGCCAGAUUAAUUACCACAACACAUUUCUGAGCCAAGUCAGAUGUCUUCCCUCAAAUACCGGACCACCUGCAGGAUGGGGGUGGGGUGCGUUACAGGGUCCGAGUGGGUCAAAAUAUCCAUUAAUGAUGUUGUGUGCAUACUUUAGCAGAUAAUUUAUAUAUAAUGUCUAACUUCUCAGCUUUUAUACAUUUUUUUUUUUUUUUACAAACCAGUCUUUUAUUUCUAUUUUAUUGUAGUUGGUUCAUUAAUUAAUCUGAACAAGCACCAGUGUUUACAAGGCACCCUAUCCUAAGGAUGAAAAAGAUAAAAAGUGAAGACUCCUCUCCGCCUGUUUCCCAGUUACCGUUUCUCUCCCUACAGAGACACUGCCAUUUUGGGGGAUGUUCUGCCAGCGUCCAGGUGCUCUAGCGUGAAGCAGGCUUAUUUCGGCGGUGACGGUACAUGUCAGCGUCAGGUGAUGACCUUGGCUGGAAAAAGGGAAAACACUGGGUCUCUGCGGAAAGGAGAGAAGUCGUAUUUGCCUUUCUGCCUGCGUGGGAGCAGAGAGGCUUCCGUGACGGAGCCAGUCCUGUGCCACCGGCUCGGAGCCGGUUGGAGCAAAACUGCAGGUGCCUCAUAGAGAGCCCGGGGCCCUGCUGCCCGGAAACGAGGAAGUCGUCACACAAGCUGAUGCCGACACUCUGCUGGUGCAGAGUGGGGACCCCCCGCCCAGCUCUGCCUGUUCUCUGCCCCCGGGAAGGUGCGAGCACACGGCCCACCUGUGUUCUCAGGACCGUGGGGCCCAAUGCUUGGAAGGGUUUGCAGCCGCAGGGGACGGGGCGGCCAGCAGUUCAGGUCAAUGGUUAACUGCCUUACUAAGUCAGACUUGGGUGCAGGCGCUUUAGUCUUCUCGGGGGUGGGGGGAGGGAGGGGUGGGGAGCAGGUCUUUGAGAGGUCAAGACCAUACUACAGUUUAAGAGAGCACCGGAGCCUGGCCUGGCCUCACAGAGCCUGCACACCACGGCGUGCACGGAGCGCUCACACCAACGCGACGUGCACCCUCCAGCAUACCCUGACCGUGGGCUCUGGAGGCAGUGCCAGGCAUCUGUUUCUGGACCCAAAGCCAUUGAUCCUUUAGGGCCCCGGUGUCCUGUCUGUGCUUGCAGGCUCUCCUGGGCGUGAUCUUCCUGUUCAAAGCCCCGCUGUGAUUAAGAGAACGUUUUCUAAAACUAGUGUACAGAGGACUGCUCUUCAGGAAGGAUGGGGACCACCACUGUGGCCUGUGAGGCUGAGCCUCCGGGACCGAGGCUGCGUUCCCCGCGGCCAGGUUCUGGGAACCGUGCUUCCCCCUGCCCCUGGCAGCUGCGGGUGGGAGGGCUUCCGGCUCUUGCCAGAAUGGGAACGCGGCCGUGUUCGUUCCCUCAACCCCGCCCACACCUCUGUAGAGAACCUUCGUUAAACUUCUCUCUUAAACCUUUGGAACCAUUUGUUUCUUGCUUGGGCCCUGCCUGAUAAACCGUCCGACGGUCCUCUGCCCACCUGAAUAAAGGCUAAACCCCAACAAAUCACAGAGCCGUUCUCAAGGGCUGUGUGAGCGCUCGUUUUUUUCAUGAA